rnacentral:lncRNA from 1 species
UUAGAUAUCAUUUGAUGGAUUCUUUUGGUUCAAAUUUGAGGCCAUCCAUCCAUUGGGUGUGUAAUAGGCCUAUUUUGCCUAAACCCAAUUAAAAUACAAAGACCAAAAUAAAAUAAAUGCCCAGUUCAUUUGUUUUUUACAAACCCAAUUAAUAAAUUCAAAUUACAUCAGCAGGCCCAAUACCCAAACAACCCAAACAGCCCAACUAACCUAACUAAACCCUAGCCCAAAAAGAAACAAAAAAAAAGAAAAGCAAGAAACCCUAAAGAAAUUAGCAGCCGCCGCCCCCAACUCUAGCCGCAGCACAACUCGGAGCCAGCCUCUGCGCGCGCCGCCUCUCCGCAUGAGCCGCCACGUGUGUACCUGCAAAAGGACUAGGAGAGUCCAACAACAACUCAAACAAUGUAAAAAAUAGAAAAAAUAGGAAAUUUUGGGCUAUAAAAAC